UACGUAGGGGGCUAGCGUUGUCCGGAAUCAUUGGGCGUAAAGCGCGUGUAGGCGGCCUAGUAAGUCCGUUCUGAAAGCCCGGGGCUCAACCCCGGGAGGCGGAUGGAUACUGCUGGGCUCGAGUCCGGAAGAGGCAAGUGGAAUUCCCGGUGUAGCGGUGAAAUGCGCAGAUAUCGGGAGGAACACCAAUGGCGAAGGCAGCUUGCUGGGACGGUACUGACGCUGAGACGCGAAAGCGUGGGGAGCAAACAGG
rnacentral:rRNA from 1 species